rnacentral:rRNA from 1 species
CCCCUAGAUGUUCUGGGCCGCACGCGCGCUACACUGAACAGUUCAACAAGUCUUAACCUUGGCCGAUAGGUCUGGGUAAUCUUUGAACGCUGUUCGUGAUUGGGAUAGACCUUUGCAAUUAUGGGUCUUCAACGAGGAAUUCCUAGUAAACGCAAGUCAUCAGCUUGCAUUGAUUACGUCCCUGCCCUUUGUACACACCGCCCGUCGCACCUACCGAUUGAAUGGUCCGGUGAAAUCUCGGGACGGCGGCUUGGUCGCUUGCGUCCGACUGCUGAAAUUUGAUUAAACCAUAUCAUUUAGAGGAAGGUGAAGUCGUAACA